UAAGGAAUAUUGCGCAAUGGGCGAAAGCCAGACGCAGCAACGCCGCGUGGACGAUGAAGGCCUUCGGGUCGUAAAGUCCUUUUCAGAGGGACGAGUGAGGACGGUACCUCUGGAAUAAGUCACGGCUAACUACGUGCCAGCAGCCGCGGUAAAACGUAGGUGGCGAGCGUUAUCCGGAUUCACUGGGCGUAAAGCGCCUGCAGGCGGUCUCGUAAGUGGGAUGUGAAAUCUCCCGGCUUAACUGGGAGGGGCCAUUCCAUACUGCGAGGCUUGAGGGCAGAAGAGGGAAGCGGAAUUCCCGGUGUAGUGGUGAAAUGCGUAGAUAUCGGGAGGAACACCAGUGGCGAAGGCGGCUUCCUGGCCUGCUCCUGACGCUAAGAGGCGAAAGCUAGGGGAGCGAACGGGAUUAGAAACCCCGGUAGUCCUAGCUAUAAACGAUGGAUACUGGGUGUCGGUGGUCCUAACCCCAUCGGUGCCGAAGCUAACGCGUUAAGUAUCCCGCCUGGGGACUACGGCCGCAAGGUUA
rnacentral:rRNA from 1 species